ACGAACGCUGGCGGCGUGCUUAACACAUGCAAGUCGAACGGAAAGGCCCUGCUUUUGUGGGGUGCUCGAGUGGCGAACGGGUGAGUAACACGUGAGUAACCUGCCCUUGACUUUGGGAUAACUUCAGGAAACUGGGGCUAAUACCGGAUAGGAGCUCCUGCUGCAUGGUGGGGGUUGGAAAGUUUCGGCGGUUGGGGAUGGACUCGCGGCUUUCAGCUUGUUGGUGGGGUAGUGGCUUACCAAGGCUUUGACGGGUAGCCGGCCUGAGAGGGUGACCGGCCACAUUGGGACUGAGAUACGGCCCAGACUCCUACGGGAGGCAGCAGUGGGGAAUAUUGCACAAUGGGCGGAAGCCUGAUGCAGCAACGCCGCGUGCGGGAUGACGGCCUUCGGGUUGUAAACCGCUUUCGCCUGUGACGAAGCGUGAGUGACGGUAAUGGGUAAAGAAGCACCGGCUAACUACGUG
rnacentral:rRNA from 1 species